rnacentral:rRNA from 1 species
AACGAACGCUGGCGGCAGGCUUAACACAUGCAAGUCGAACGGGCGUAGCAAUACGUCAGUGGCAGACGGGUGAGUAACACGUGGGAACCUUCCUCGUAGUACGGAACAACUCAGGGAAACUUGAGCUAAUACCGUAUACGUCCGAGAGGAGAAAGAUUUAUCGCUAUGAGACGGGCCCGCGUCCGAUUAGGUAGUUGGUGGGGUAACGGCCUACCAAGCCGACGAUCGGUAGCUGAUCUGAGAGGAUGAUCAGCCACACUGGGACUGAGACACGGCCCAGACUCCUACGGGAGGCAGCGGUGGGGAAUCUUGGACAAUGGGCGCAAGCCUGAUCCAGCCAUGCCGCGUGAGUGAAGAAGGCCUUAGGGUUGUAAAGCUCUUUUGCCAGGGACGAUAAUGACGGUACCUGGAGAAUAAGCCCCGGCAAACUUCGUGCCAGCAGCCGCCGUAAGAC